GUUGCAGUUACGGAAGCUGCCAUCACAGUUAGUGCAAAUCUGCAUUUAAAUCUCAACAACCCCAUCAGUUCUCUGUGAUUUAAGUCAUCUGCUCUUCUGGAUCUCAACUGCUUAUAAAAUUAAAGUUUUAUAUCUGUGUAUUAGGUAAUGGUUAAUUAAUUAUCUAAUUAUGCAUUUUUUGGACCAAGAUGUGGCCCUUUUCUUCAUGUGUAGCAUGAUACCAUAUUUCAGCAAUUCUGAGAUUACCAUAUUUUUCACAUUUAACAUCUUUGAAAUUAGAAUGUGGCAUAUAAUUGAUGGUAUGUCAUAGUUUAAUGUCAUAGUUCAGUUAUCAGGUUUUUAAAAACUUUUGUAGUGGUAUAUAAAAUAAUGAUGUGUCUUAUAAUUGAUAGUGUCUAAGAUUCAAUGAAGUACCAGGGAGUUGAUAAAUAGAAAACAGAAAACCAUAACCACCCAACUUCCCUAUCAAUCAAUCUUCUCUAUUUCAUAAAUGAUAGGAGAAAGCUUAUUGUUUAAUUGAUUGUUGGCUUUUUAUGCUACCAAAGAGGAGUAAUUGCAACAAUACAAUGAUUCAUGGAUGGCAACCAAAAGAACUGUGAUCACCUAAGUGUAGCAAAAAGAAAAUAUUACUACCUGUUAAUUUACAUCCCAUGAAGUUAAGCACAUAUUUCAUCAUUUGAGUGAUGUCAUCCUCUCUAAAAUUUAUGCUGAAACUUAAUCCUCAAUGCAACAGUAUUAAGAGGUAUGACCUUUGAGAGGUUAUUAAGUCAUAAGGGCUCCACCCUCAUAAAUGGGAGUCACAUUCUUGUAAACAGGCUCAAGGUUGAAAGGAGAGUUCUCUGGCCCUUCAUUCCUUCCAUCAUAUGAGGACACUGGGUUAGUUCUCUCUGGAGGAUGCAGCAACAAGACUCCAUCUUGGAAGCAGACAGCAAUUUUCACCAAACAUGCAACAGGCCAGUGCCUUGAUCAUGGACUACCCAGCCUCCAGAACUAUCUCCAGUUGGUUGAAUGUGUGCAUGUAGAACCCACAGACACAGAGGAUGGGCUACAUUAUGUAGCGUCAGUGAUGGCUUCAUAGAAGAGUUGGCUUUGGUAUCAGGAUGAUGCUGGCCUCAUAAAAUGAGU
rnacentral:lncRNA from 1 species